UACGAAGGGGGCUAGCGUUGUUCGGAAUUACUGGGCGUAAAGCGCGCGCAGGUGGUCUUUCAAGUCAGUGGUGAAAGCCCGGAGCUCAACUCCGGAACUGCCAUUGAAACUGUGAGACUUGAGGACGAGAGAGGUGAGUGGAAUUCCCAGUGUAGAGGUGAAAUUCGUAGAUAUUGGGAAGAACACCAGUGGCGAAGGCGGCUCACUGGCUCGUAUCUGACGCUCAGGCGCGACAGCGUGGGGAUCAAACAGG
rnacentral:rRNA from 1 species